UUCUAUGCACAUCAUCUAUAUAUCUAUAUAUUGCCUUCGGCACAUUGUAGUAGCUGGUCGGAAAAAGGACGGUCGCAAAUACGUAUAAUAUAAAUAUACGCACAAAAUUAGCUGCCAUCUCCUCUCCAUUCUGACCAGCAACACUGUACAAAAUAUGUCUUAAUUUCGACCUAUCUGCAUGCCGAUAGUCACCAUCGAAAUAUUUAUC
rnacentral:lncRNA from 1 species